rnacentral:rRNA from 1 species
AAAGGGUGAUAGCCCCGUACACUAAAAUGCACAGGUCGUGAGUUCGAUGAGUAGGGCGGGACACGUGACAUCCUGUCUGAAUAUGGGGGGACCAUCCUCCAAGGCUAAAUACUCCUGACUGACCGAUAGUGAACCAGUACCGUGAGGGAAAGGCGAAAAGAACCCCGGCGAGGGGAGUGAAAUAGAACCUGAAACCGUGUACGUACAAGCAGUGGGAGCACCUUCGUGGUGUGACUGCGUACCUUUUGUAUAAUGGGUCAGCGACUUAUAUUUUGUAGCAAGGUUAACCGUAUAGGGGAGCCGUAGGGAAACCGAGUCUUAACUGGGCGACUAGUUGCAAGGUAUAGACCCGAAACCCGGUGAUCUAGCCAUGGGCAGGUUGAAGGUUGGGUAACACUAACUGGAGGACCGAACCGACUAAUGUUGAAAAAUUAGCGGAUGACUUGUGGCUGGGGGUGAAAGGCCAAUCAAACCGGGAGAUAGCUGGUUCUCCCCGAAAGCUAUUUAGGUAGCGCCUCGUGAACUCAUCUUCGGGGGUAGAGCACUGUUUCGGCUAGGGGGCCAUCCCGGCUUACCAAACCGAUGCAAACUCCGAAUACCGAAGAAUGUUAUCACGGGAGACACACGGCGGGUGCUAACGUCCGUCGUGAAGAGGGAAACAACCCAGACCGCCAGCUAAGGUCCCAAAGUCAUGGUUAAGUGGGAAACGAUGUGGGAAGGCAUAGACAGCCAGGAUGUUGGCUUAGAAGCAGCCAUCAUUUAAAGAAAGCGUAAUAGCUCACUGGUCGAGUCGGCCUGCGCGGAAGAUGUAACGGGGCUAAACCAUGCACCGAAGCUGCGGCAGCGACGCUUAGGCGUUGUUGGGUAGGGGAGCGUUCUGUAAGCCGUUGAAGGUGGCCUGUGAGGGUUGCUGGAGGUAUCAGAAGUGCGAAUGCUGACAUAAGUAACGAUAAAGCGGGUGAAAAGCCCGCUCGCCGGAAGACCAAGGGUUCCUGUCCAACGUUAAUCGGGGCAGGGUGAGUCGACCCCUAAGGCGAGGCUGAAAAGCGUAGUCGAUGGGAAACAGGUUAAUAUUCCUGUACUUGGUGUUACUGCGAAGGGGGGACGGAGAAGGCUAGGCUAGCCGGGCGACGGUUGUCCCGGUUUAAGCGUGUAGGGGGUGUGACCUGGUAAAUCCGGUUGCAUACUAACCCUGAGGCGUGAUGACGAUGCACUACGGUGCAGAAGUAGUUGAUGCCCUGCUUCCAGGAAAAUCCUCUAAGCUCCAGGUAACAUUAAAUCGUACCCCAAACCGACACAGGUGGUCAGGUAGAGAAUACCAAGGCGCUUGAGAGAACUCGGGUGAAGGAACUAGGCAAAAUGGUGCCGUAACUUCGGGAGAAGGCACGCUGGCAUGUAGGUGAAGUCCCUCGCGGAUGGAGCUGAAGCCAGUCGAAGAUACCAGCUGGCUGCAACUGUUUAAUAAAAACACAGCACUGUGCAAACACGAAAGUGGACGUAUACGGUGUGACGCCUGCCCGGUGCUGGAAGGUUAAUUGAUGGGGUCAGCCGCAAGGCGAAGCUCUUGAUCGAAGCCCCAGUAAACGGCGGCCGUAACUAUAACGGUCCUAAGGUAGCGAAAUUCCUUGUCGGGUAAGUUCCGACCUGCACGAAUGGCGUAAUGAUGGCCAGGCUGUCUCCACCCGAGACUCAGUGAAAUUGAACUCGCUGUGAAGAUGCAGUGUACCCGCGGCAAGACGGAAAGACCCCGUGAACCUUUACUAUAGCUUGACACUGAACAUUGAGCCUUGAUGUGUAGGAUAGGUGGGAGGCUUUGAAGCGUGGACGCCAGUCUGCGUGGAGCCAUCCUUGAAAUACCACCCUUUAAUGUUUGAUGUUCUAACUCGGCCCCGUAAUCCGGGGUGAGGACAGUGUCUGGUGGGUAGUUUGACUGGGGCGGUCUCCUCCCAAAGAGUAACGGAGGAGCACGAAGGUUAGCUAAUCACGGUCGGACAUCGUGAGGUUAGUGCAAAGGCAUAAGCUAGCUUGACUGCGAGAGUGACGGCUCGAGCAGG